rnacentral:lncRNA from 1 species
AAAGGUGUCUUAUGUUAAAUGUAGACUUUGCAUCUUUUACCUUGGGUUGGUUCAAUCUCAAGAACAAUUUAGAUUUCCAGAAAGUCUACUUUUUCUUUGAUUUCUCUUAUGUUAAUGGUAGACAUUUCUUAUGAAAAAAUUUCUUUGAUUUCUCUUAUGUUAAUGGUAGACAUUUCUUAUGAAAAAAGUAGUUGUGUCUUAUGUUAAAUGUAGACUUUGCAACUUUCACCUUCCAUUAUUGAUUCAAUCUCAAGAAUAAUUUUGAUUUCCAGAAUGUCUACUUUUCUUUGAUUUCUCUUAUGUUAAUGGUAGACAUUUUGCAUGAAAAUUGUAGUUGUGUCUCAUGUUAAAUGUAGACUUUGCAUCUUUUAUCUUGGGUUGCUUCAAUCUCAAGAACAAUUUAGAUUUCCAGAAAGUCUACUUUUCUUUGAUUUCUCUUAUGUUAUGGUAUACGUUUCUAAUGAAAAUAGUAGACGUGUCUUAUGUUAAAUGUAGACUUGAAAAUUUUACUUUCGGUUGGUUCAAUCUCAAUCUCACAAUCUUGAUUUCUAGAAAGUCUACUUUUCUUUGAUUUCGUUUAUGUUAAUGGUAGAGAUUUGUAAUAAA